GGACAAGUUCAAAACAGUCCCCAGCGAGACCUUGUAGGACAGGCAUAACGCCCGGGCUCCUGUUCCUUGCACCCAUCUUCUCUUUUUCUUACUCUUCCUUCACACAAGUACCGUGGCAGCAACACACCAAAAAAAUGAGUUUGAACCCGCAGUUCCAGCAGAUCGGAGAGACCUUCGUCAAGCAGUACUAUGCUAUCUUUGAUGGCGAGAGAGAUGGGAGGGAAAAGCUGGUCAACUUUUAUCACGCGGAGCUCUCGUUAAUGUCAUUUGAGGGAGUUCAGGUACAAGGAGCAGCUCAGAUUUUGGAAAAAAUUAAGAAUUUGACAUUCACCAAAAUUGCUCGAGCUAUCACAACUGUGGAUUGCCAGCCCACCUUUGAUGGAGGUGUUUUAAUUAACAUUCUUGGGCAACUUAAGAUGGAUGACGACCCUCCACAUGGGUUCAAUCAAACGUUUAUGCUCAAGCCACUCGGUGACAGUUUCUUCGUUCAACACGACAUGUUUCGCUUGGCACUCCACCAUAUUGUCGUAUGAGUGGAGUCCGCAGGGGUCAAGCUCAGAGGGGGCACAGCUCUCAUUAUCAAGUCUGCUUCACCACCUUAUUGUAAGAUGGAUGAGGACCCAGUGCAUGGAUUCUCUCAGACGUUUGUUCUCAAGCCCAUGAGUGAUUCCUUCUUCAUCCAACACGACUCUUUCCGUCUUGUCAUUCAUAAUCACUAGACCAUUG
rnacentral:misc_RNA from 1 species